AACGCUAGCUACAGGCUUAACACAUGCAAGUCGAGGGGAAACGACAUCGAAAGCUUGCUUUUGAUGGGCGUCGACCGGCGCACGGGUGAGUAACGCGUAUCCAACCUGCCCACCACUUGGGGAUAACCUUGCGAAAGUAAGACUAAUACCCAAUGAUAUCUCUAGAAGACAUCUGAAAGAGAUUAAAGAUUUAUCGGUGAUGGAUGGGGAUGCGUCUGAUUAGCUUGUUGGCGGGGUAACGGCCCACCAAGGCAACGAUCAGUAGGGGUUCUGAGAGGAAGGUCCCCCACAGUGGAACUGAGACACGGUCCAAACUCCUACGGGAGGCAGCAGUGAGGAAUAUUGGUCAAUGGACGAGAGUCUGAACCAGCCAAGUAGCGUGCAGGAAGACGGCCCUAUGGGUUGUAAACUGCUUUUAUAAGGGAAUAAAGUUAGUCUCGUGAGACUUUUUGCAUGUACCUUAUGAAUAAGGACCGGCUAAUUCCGUGCCAGCAGCCGCGGUAAUACGGAAGGUCCGGGCGUUAUCCGGAUUUAUUGGGUUUAAAGGGAGCGUAGGCCGGAGAUUAAGCGUGUUGUGAAAUGUAGACGCUCAACGUCUGCACUGCAGCGCGAACUGGUUUCCUUGAGUACGCACAAAGUGGGCGGAAUUCGUGGUGUAGCGGUGAAAUGCUUAGAUAUCACGAAGAACUCCGAUUG
rnacentral:rRNA from 1 species